AAAGUACUCCCUCCGUCCCAAAAUUCUUGUCUUAGAUUUGUCUAGAUACGGAUGUAUCAAGUCACAUUUUAGUAUUAGAUACAUCCGUAUCUAGACAAAUCUAAGACAAGAAAUUUGGAACAGAGGGAGUAGUUG
rfam:Triticum aestivum genome assembly, contig: Triticum_aestivum_CS42_TGACv1_scaffold_146559_2BS